CGUGGGUAACCUGCCCAAGAGACUGGGAUAACACCUGGGAACAGAUGCUAAUACCGGAUAACAACACUAGACGCAUGUCUAGAGUUUAAAAGAUGGUUCUGCUAUCACUCUUGGAUGGACCUGCGGUGCAUUAGCUAGUUGGUAAGGUAACGGCUUACCAAGGCAAUGAUGCAUAGCCGAGUUGAGAGACUGAUCGGCCACAUUGGGACUGAGACACGGCCCAAACUCCUACGGGAGGCAGCAG
rnacentral:rRNA from 1 species